rnacentral:lncRNA from 1 species
UAUUUUGAAUGGAGUUGUUGGGGGAGUUGAGGAGUUGUGGGUGGAGAGAUUCAAGGAGAGAUAAGGGGAGUGGUUUUAGGAGAAAAUCAAGGGAUGUGAGGGGAGAAGAGAGGUGUGCCGAAUGGGGACUUUGGUACUCAAGGAAUUUGGCUAGUGGGGUUAUGGCUCAUUUUGUGUGUUUUUUGUAUUUCGUUUUUGGGUAAUGUUUCCCUCGUUUUGCUUUGUGCUACCGAAUUUUGCUAAAUUCCCAAGUAUCUCCUUUUGAUUACUUUUCUACCUUCUUCUUUUACCUUCUUGGUUUCGGCCGAACAAUAUUGUGGUUCUCUCUUUUGCCGAACAUCCUCUUUCUUUCUUUUAUUUUUAUCGGCUUUGAUUCUCUAUUCCUUUUUCUUUUUUCUUCUCUUCUCCCUCAAUUUGUGCCUCUUAGCUGUAUAACCUCUUUGUUUUCAUCGAUUUAUUUUUGUCAGCCUUUUCUUCUUUUUACUUCCUAGCCGAAUAUUACCCAUUCUUCAUAUCGUUCUCUACGUUGAUCUUCCUCCACUGUUUCUUGCCGCUCCUGUGCUACAGGUUCCUGACUAUCGGUAAAUGGUUAUACUCC